rnacentral:rRNA from 1 species
GACGAACGCUGGCGGCGUGCCUAAUACAUGCAAGUCGAACGCAGUGGGGACGGGUGAGUAACACGUGGGUAACCUCCCAUGAGAGGGGAAAAAACUUGGAAACAGGUGCUAAACCGAUACUGAUGGAUGGACGCGCGGUGAAUUAGCUAGUGGGUGAGGUAACGGCUCACCAAGCCAACGAUGCAUAGCCGACCUGAGAGGGUGUUGGGCCACACUGGGACUGAGACACGGCCCAGCCUCCUACGGGAGGCAGAGGUAGGGAUUCUUCGGCAAUGGACGAAAGUCUGACCGAGCAACGUGGCGUGAGUGAAGAAGUUUUUCGGAUCUUAAAACUCUGUUGUUAGAGAGGCGGUAUCUAACCAGAAAGCCACGGCUAACUACGUGCCAGCAGCCGCGGUAAUUC